GAUGAACGCUGGCGGCGUGCCUAAUACAUGCAAGUCGAGCGAAUGGAUUAAGAGCUUGCUCUUAUGAAGUUAGCGGCGGACGGGUGAGUAACACGUGGGUAACCUGCCCAUAAGACUGGGAUAACUCCGGGAAACCGGGGCUUAUACCGGAUAACAUUUUGCACCGCAUGGUUCGAAAUUGAAAGGCGGCUUCGGCUGUCACUUAUGGAUGGACCCGCGUCGCAUUAGCUAGUUGGUGGGGUAACGGCUCACCAAGGCAACGAUGCGUAGCCGACCUGAGAGGGUGAUCGGCCACACUGGGACUGAGACACGGCCCAGACUCCUACGGGAGGCAGCAGUAGGGAAUCUUCCGCAAUGGACGAAAGUCUGACGGAGCAACGCCGCGUGAGUGAUGAAGGCUUUCGGGUCGUAAAACUCUGUUGUUAGGGAAGAACAAGUGCUAGUUGAAUAAGCUGGCACCUUGACGGUACCUAACCAGAAAGCCACGGCUAACUACGUGCCAGCCGCCGCGGUAA
rnacentral:rRNA from 1 species